rnacentral:rRNA from 1 species
GACGAACGCUGGCGGCGUGCUUAACACAUGCAAGUCGAACGGUAAGGCCCUUCGGGGUACACGAGUGGCGAACGGGUGAGUAACACGUGGGUGAUCUGCCCUGUACUUCGGGAUAAGCCUGGGAAACUGGGUCUAAUACCGGAUAGGACUCCUGGCUUCAUGGUUGGGGGUGGAAAGCUUUUGCGGUGUGGGAUGGGCCCGCGGCCUAUCAGCUUGUUGGUGGGGUAAUGGCCUACCAAGGCGACGACGGGUAGCCGGCCUGAGAGGGUGACCGGUCACACUGGGACUGAGAUACGGCCCAGACUCCUACGGGAGGCAGCAGUGGGGAAUAUUGCACAAUGGGCGCAAGCCUGAUGCAGCGACGCCGCGUGAGGGAUGACGGCCUUCGGGUUGUAAACCUCUUUCAGCUAUGACGAAGCGCAAGUGACGGUAGUAGCAGAAGAAGGACCGGCCAACUACGUACCAGCCGCCGCGGUAA